rnacentral:rRNA from 1 species
AACGAACGCUGGCGGCAUGCCUAACACAUGCAAGUCGAACGAGACCUUCGGGUCUAGUGGCGCACGGGUGCGUAACGCGUGGGAACCUGCCCUUAGGUUCGGAAUAACUCCCCGAAAGGGGUGCUAAUCCCGGAUAAUGUCUUCGGACCAAAGAUUUAUCGCCUUUGGAUGGGCCCGCGUUGGAUUAGCUAGUUGGUAGGGUAAAAGCCUACCAAGGCGACGACCCAUAGCUGGUCUGAGAGGAUGAUCAGCCACACUGGGACUGAGACACGGCCCAGACUCCUACGGGAGGCAGCAGUGGGGAAUAUUGGACAAUGGGCGAAAGCCUGAUCCAGCAAUGCCGCGUGAGUGAUGAAGGCCUUAGGGUUGUAAAGCUCUUUUACCCGGGAUGAUAAUGACAGUACCGGGAGAAUAAGCUCCGGCUAACUCCGUG